GACGAACGCUGGCGGCGUGCCUAAUACAUGCAAGUCGAACGCAGUGGGGACGGGUGAGUAACACGUGGGUAACCUCCCAACAGAGGGGAUAACACUUGGAAACAGGUGCUAAACCGAUACUGAUGGAUGGACCCGCGGUGCAUUAGCUAGUUGGUGAGGUAACGGCGUACCAAGGCCACGCUGCAUAGCGGACCUGAGAGGGUGAUCGGCCACACUGGGACUCAGACACGUCCCAGACUCCUACGGGAGGCAGCAGUAGGGAAUCGUUCGCAAUGGACGAAAGUCUGACCGAGGAACGCCGCGUGAGUGAAGAAGGUUUUCGGAUCGUAAAACACUGUUUUUAGAGAAGCGGUAUCUAACCAGAAAGGCACGGCUAACUACGUGCCAGCCGCCGCGGUAAUUC
rnacentral:rRNA from 1 species